rnacentral:rRNA from 1 species
UACGUAGGUGGCAAGCGUUGUCCGGAUUUACUGGGCGUAAAGAGCGCGCAGGCGGUCGAAUAAGUCGAAUGUGAAAGCCCCCGGCUUAACUGGGGAGGGUCAUUCGAUACUGUUAGACUUGAAGGCAGGAGAGGGCAGCAGAAUUCCCGGUGUAGUGGUGAAAUGCGUAGAUAUCUGGAGGAAUACCGGUGGCGAAGGCGGCAUCCUGGACCGACAUUGACGCUGAACGGCGAAAGCUAGGGGAGCAAACGGG